rnacentral:rRNA from 1 species
AGGGUUCGAUUCUGGCUCAGGAUGAACGCUAGCUACAGGCUUAACACAUGCAAGUCGAGGGGCAGCAUGGGAGUUGCUUGCAAUUCCUGAUGGCGACCGGCGCACGGGUGAGUAACGCGUAUCCAACCUUCCCCUUAGUAGGGCAUAGCCCGGUGAAAAUCGGAUUAAUACCCUAUGUUCUUCGCAGCAGACAUCUAACGUGAAGCAAAGGUUCACCGCUAAGGGAUGGGGAUGCGUCUGAUUAGGUAGUAGGCGGGGUAACGGCCCACCUAGCCUUCGAUCAGUAGGGGUUCUGAGAGGAAGGUCCCCCACAUUGGAACUGAGACACGGUCCAAACUCCUACGGGAGGCAGCAGUGAGGAAUAUUGGUCAAUGGGCGAGAGCCUGAACCAGCCAAGUAGCGUGCCAGGAUGACGGCCCUAUGGGUUGUAAACUGCUUUUAUAUGGGGAUAAAGUUCACCACGUGUGGUGUUUUGCAGGUACCAUAUGAAUAAGGACCGGCUAAUUCCGUGCCAGCAGCCGC